CCUACGGGUGGCAGCAGUGGGGAAUAUUGGGCAAUGGGCGCAAGCCUGACCCAGCAACGCCGCGUGAAGGAAGAAGGCCCUCGGGUUGUAAACUUCUUUUAUCAGGGACGAAACAAAUGACGGUACCUGAUGAAUAAGCCACGGCUAACUACGUGCCAGCAGCCGCGGUAAUACGUAGGUGGCAAGCGUUAUCCGGAGUUACUGGGUGUAAAGGGCGGGUAGGCGGGAGAGCAAGUCAGACGUUAAAUUCCAGGGCUCAACCCUGGAACUGCGUUUGAAACUGUUCUUCUUGAGUGAUGGAGAGGCAGGCGGAAUGCCGGGUGUAGCGGUGAAAUGCGUAGAUAUACGGAGGAACACCAGUGGCGAAGGCGGCCUGCUGGACAUUAACUGACGCUGAGGCGCGAAAGCGUGGGGAGCAAACAGGAUUAGAUACCCGAGUAGUC
rnacentral:rRNA from 1 species